ACGGAAGGCAGCAGUGGGGGAUAUUGCACAAUGGGGGAAACCCUGAUGCAGCGACGCCGCGUGAGUGAUGAAGUAUUUCGGUAUGUAAAGCUCUAUCAGCAGGGAAGAAAAUGACGGUACCUGACUAAGAAGCUCCGGCUAAAUACGUGCCAGCAGCCGCGGUAACACGUAUGGAGCAAGCGUUAUCCGGAUUUACUGGGUGUAAAGGGAGCGUAGACGGCGUGGCAAGUCUGAUGUGAAAGCUAUGGGCUCAACCCAUAAACUGCAUUGGAAACUGUCAUGCUAGAGUGUCGGAGAGGUAAGCGGAAUUCCUAGUGUAGCGGUGAAAUGCGUAGAUAUUAGGAGGAACACCAGUGGCGAAGGCGGCUUACUGGACGAUAACUGACGUUGAGGCUCGAAAGCGUGGGGAGCAAACAGGAUUAGAUACCCUGGUA
rnacentral:rRNA from 1 species